rnacentral:ribozyme from 14 species
UAUUUACACCCACAAACAGAGGGAAACUAUUGAAGAGUGAAAUUAAUGAACAAAAAAGGGCUGCCUUCUUGAAUAGCACAGCAUCACCAAGACGAACAUCUUUGUAGCGCCAUCCAUUUUUUUUUUUUUUUUUCC